CAGCUUUUAAAAGCCAAGUAUAGUUAUCCAGUGAAGGAGAGGGCCUGCAGCUCACAGAGGGAGGGACAUGUUUCCUCCCUCCCUCCUGCCUUUCCUUCCUUUUAUUUCUAUCAUGAGACAUCAAUUUAGUCUGAGGUAAAAUAUUUGAUGAGGAGGGAUUCACUAAGAUAAUUAAUACCAAAAUAUCACUGAUUAAUAGCCUUAGUUUAUUACCUGCAUAGGUGAAACCCAGAUUAGCUGCACUACAUGAGAAAGGUGACUUAUGGAAAUGAAAAUUUAAGACUAAUAUUGAUGUUGUUUUGAUGACCCCCCCAUCAAUCCCCUUGUUUCUCCCUAAAAUGUGUCCAUUUCAUUUCUUAGAAAGAAAAGUCCCAUGAUGACAGUUAAAUUAUUUUGUUUAUUUGUUUGGCAGAACAUCUUGAAUCUUUAUUCCAUUUAAGACUCUAAGAGAUGGGGCUUCACUUCUCCAGCUUCCAUGAUGCACUUUGAAAACUGCCAUUCUGUUGUUCUUGCGGCUGGUCCAAACUUAUGUGCCUAUCUGGAGACAUACCACACUGCUUCCUUGUCUUCCUGGGAACACUGCCUACAUUUCCCAGCCUCCUUUGCAUUAGUUGUGAUCAUGUGAUCAAUUCUGACCAAUAGUCUGUGCCUGGAAAGGACAUGGCCCACUUUCUGGUCUGGCACAGAAAGCUCUCUCAUGGUCUCACACAUUCUUUUCAGACUACCAUCUUCUUGUGGAUUUGGAUGUGCCAUAGCUUUGGGAGUCUCUUGUGGAAGAUGACGAAGCCACAAGAAGGAGGCACCUGUUUUCUGGAACCAGGAAGAAGACCAAUUGCUGAUGAACACCCCCCCCCCCAUUUUGGAUUUUACAUUUGUGAAUAUUUCGGUUGUGUUGGGACAUCAUACAUUUUGGGGAUUUGUUUAUAAUAGCAACUAAUGAUACCCUAAUUCAUGUUUUUAUUUUUUAAAUUAAUUAAUUAAUUUUUUUGUUAUAAUUCUUUUAUACAUGACAGCAGAAUGCAUUUCAAUUCAUAGCACACACAUGGAGCACAGGUUUUCAUUUCUCUGGUUGGACAAAAUAGAGUCUCACCAUUCAUGUCUUCAUACAUGUAUUUAGGGUAAUGAUGUCCAUCUUAUUCCACCAUCUUUCAUGUUCUUAUUACUUGCUAAUAAAAGUUAGAUUAAAACCCCAAUUUCAA
rnacentral:lncRNA from 1 species